AUGUUCGGUUUAACAUUUACGACUUUUCUUGUGGCCAGCUAUCUGUGCGCGGAUGGUUAUUUCUUGAAGAAUCCGAAGGCAACAACCGAGGAGCCAGAUGUACUCAUUGCUUCACAUCGUAAAACCGAGUUGGUGCAUCCAAGGAUUAUUGAAUCAUUUCAAAACCAGGAGAUAUUACACUUCCUCUCCCCGAGAGAUUCAAUCGCAACCGAGGAAGAUACAAAGAUUCUACUUACGGAACUACAUCCUUCGGUAACCGAUGUCUCAAAUGCAAUUUUUCAGACAUCAAAAAAAUGCACCGCGGAUUAUUACACGAGGACGGAAGAACACUCAAAAGUUCUAUUUUUUAAAUUAUUUUUCGUGCUGAAUCCAUUAACAGAUGUCGGUAAUGUCAAACCUGCAAGGAAACCCGGAGUAACAUCUCUAUUCUCUAGGUUUCCAAACGAAGAGGAGUUUCGUAUAUUUAUGACGAAAAGUUUAAACCGACAUGUUCAACUUCCCAACGACUCAAAUGCGGACACGUCAGCGCUGAUUGUCCCAGUAGGAGCAAAUCCUGAAGGGAGUCAGGAGUUUCAUCUUCAUACCCGUUCCUAUAAUCCUGUUAACUAUUUGCCAAAUAUCCCUAGUUUACCGGGUUAUUCUCGUCUUCCUAGCCUGCCGAGUGCCUCUAGUUUGCCAGGUUAUUCUCGUCUUCCUAGCCUGCCUAGUAUCUCUAUGCCCGGUAUGCCGCAAUUGCCUAGUUUUUCGCAAGCUUAUGAUCCGAUUGUCCGUGCAUUUAAGACGGCGUCGGGUUCUGCAGGGAACUUGCUUUUCAACACGAUAGCAAAUACUGUGGGGAAGCCAUCGGCGGAACGAGUGAAAAUCCUCCUCGAUAACUCGUACCUGAGACAAGUUGCGCUUUACAUGGUACCGGAGCCCAAGUUCGAGAUACCAAAAAACUUUCACGACAAACACGAUGGGAUAUUCCUCAAACUCCUCAUGAAUCAUGACCAGGGACCGACGAUCCUUCAGCUGAUAGAGUUGAUCUUGAAGCAUGUCAAGGUGACCAGGGAGUCCGGAAAGCCACCGCAGUACAGGAUCACCAACGUAGUCUGCCUUUUCUUGGCCGGGAAACGUAUCCUGCAGCCUCCUGAGGUAGUGGAAGACGUCGAACCUCAACUUAGCAGCGUUAGUGGCAGUUCCAAGGAUCGGGAUGGCUCGCAACACCCUAGUCGUAGUUCAUCACAGCGUGGUGACGAUGCUGCUAAGCUUGCUGCAAACCAAGGCGCAGUAUCUUCGAGACGGGGCGAAAGCGGCAGGAUCGAGCAACUGUGCGAGGACUGCCAGAGAGACGUGCAGAAAAAGCCAAAGCGGAACUGCGCCGGGUCCAAGUCGAUCAAACUCGGGCAGAAAUCGAUAAAGGCCGUGAAGAAGUUCGCGAACACGAAGAAACCGGAGGAUUUCCGGGACAGCGCCGGAGGUCUAUUUCUCAAGCUGGCCAUGAUGCGCCCCGAAGGAGAUUUGUACGUGAACACUCUCAGAGCGGUGGUCAACAACGUAGAGGUUCAGUACGAGGGGAAGACGCCCCACUACUACAUCGACUUCCUCGGCUUUGCCUCCUCGCCGGGGAUCGCCCCCCUUAUGGCCGAUAUCCCCGGGCUCCCCGGAGAGUUGAUACGUGGUCUCUCGCACGGGGCGGACCCCAAGAGGCAGCAAUCGCAGCCGCAGCAGCAGCCUAAACCGAAGUAA
rnacentral:lncRNA from 1 species